rnacentral:rRNA from 1 species
CGGACGGGUGAGUAACGCGUGAGAAUCUACCCUUAGGAUGGGGACAACAGUUGGAAACGACUGCUAAUACCCGAUGUGCCGAGAGGUAAAACUUAUAUGGCCUGAGGAAGAGCUCGCGUCUGAUUAGCUAGUUGGUAGUGUAAGGGACUACCAAGGCGACGAUCAGUAGCUGGUCUGAGAGGAUGAUCAGCCACACUGGGACUGAGACACGGCCCAGACUCCUACGGGAGGCAGCAGUGGGGAAUUUUCCGCAAUGGGCGAAAGCCUGACGGAGCAAGACCGCGUGAGGGAGGAAGGCCUACUGGUUGUAAACCUCUUUUGAUAGGGAAGAACACAAUGACGGUACCCAUCGAAUCAGCCUCGGCUAACUCCGUGCCAGCAGCCGCGGUAAUACGGAGGAGGCAAGCGUUAUCCGGAAUUAUUGGGCGUAAAGCGUCCGUAGGUGGUUAUCCAAGUCAGUUGUUAAAGCGUAGAGCUUAACUCUAUAAGGGCAAUUGAAACUGGGUGGCUAGAGUGCGAUAGGGGCAAGGGGAAUUCCCAGUGUAGCGGUGAAAUGCGUAGAUAUUGGGAAGAACAUCGGUGGCGAAGGCGCCUUGCUGGGUCUGCACUGACACUGAGGGACGAAAGCUAGGGGAGCGAAAGGGAUUAGAUACCCCUGUAGUCA